CCUACGGGAGGCAGCAGUGAGGAAUAUUGGUCAAUGGACGCCAGUCUGAACCAGCCAUGCCACGUGCAGGAAGACGGCUCUAUGAGUUGUAAACUUCUUUUGUACGGGGGUAAACGCAGAUACGCGUAUCUGUCUGAAAGUAUCGUGCGAAUAAGGAUCGGCUAACUCCGUGCCAGCAGCCGCGGUAAUACGGAGGAUUCAGGCGUUAUCCGGAUUUAUUGGGUUUAAAGGGUGCGUAGGCGGUCGGAUAAGUUAGAGGUGAAAUCCCGAGGCUCAACUUCGGAAUUGCCGUUGAUACUGUUCGGCGAGAGAGUAGUUGAGGUAGGCGGAAUGUAUGGUGUAGCGGUGAAAUGCUUAGAGAUCAUACAGAACACCGAUUGCGAAGGCAGCUUACCAAGCUACUUCUGACGUUGAGGCACGAAAGCGUGGGGAGCAAACAGGAUUAGAUACCCCAGUAGUC
rnacentral:rRNA from 1 species